GCUUCAUUCCCGCGGUUCAAAUCAGAUAAGAUACAACAUGUUUGCAGUGACUACUCGUCUAAUUUGUCGGUAUGAUAGCGCCAUGUGUCUGGUUAGUUUAAAAAAAAUGACGGCUAGGGCUGGAUAAUGAAAUAACAGCACCCUUUAUCGUCAGUUAAAAGAACAGUAGGCCUAAAUUAAACUCUAAAGACUUUAUUUACACUAAAUACGACCUAUUUUGGAGGACUUGCUGAUGUAAUGUAAGUGUAAUAGGCUAAUUCUGCAUAAAUUAUUAACGUUACUUUUUUGUUUGUGAUAUGUUUGUAGCCUGUACGUUUUGUACACUAAUGUACAACAUGCUUAAUUUUGCUUGUAUUUUAAUCUAGGUCCCACCUGCUUACAUUAUCCAAAUGUCCUACAUUUAGACAGACUGACAGUUUAGAUGAGGUAGUGAAUGAGUUGUUUCUGUCUCUUUGAAAAAUGUGCUCAAGGUCUUCAGAAACUCCUUCAUAUGUCUUCGGUCGCCCAGAGAUAUGGAUUAAUGGCUUGUUGUCAUCUGUGGGCACUGUGUGGUUCUAAACACGUCAGAUGUGGUGGUGUUGGAGCAAGGACUGACCUGCAGCUGGGCUGAAAGAAGCGUGACUGACAUGUGCCUUACAUCAGUGGAGGAUGAUGGACAAGAGAUGCAGCUCAGCCACAUUCCUUCUCUCUCUCGCUCUCUCUGUGAACCAGAGCGAGGUGAGCGAGGACUGAAGCGUCGCUCCAGUUCUGUCCUGUUCCCAGCUCUCCUCUCUCCCACACAGAGACCCACACCCAGCCCAGUCCAUCUGCACCGACAGGCACCUCAGCUGGGCGAGCGGCAGCACCAGCCUCCCUCUUCUGUUCAGGUCAGAGUCCUUCACACUCAAUGACAUCAUCAUUGUCUGUCAGUCACAGAAAGCUGUGGGCCUCCUGUCUCAACACAGACUUCAGCCAUGCCAACAAAGUGCCUCCAGCACUUAAAGCCCCAAGCGUUACAGAUGAAGGCAGAUCCGCUGUAGUGACACCGUUCAUCAAGAGAGCCGCUUUACGUGGGCUCCGUUUGUUUGCUGCACAGAGAUGUGCUGAGUAGCUGGCCGUCUUUAAUGUGUGCAGACGGCGACGGAGAGACAUGAGCCAAUCCAGCCAUCUUGUACUGAGGAUUCAGGGCUGGACAAGCGUUUGCCAUCUGUAGCUGCGGCAAUGCGUGAGUCUGCAGCCAGCCCACAUUGUGUCAGCAGCAGCCCUGGUACUGAGAAUUUUUUUUUUUUCUUUUUUAAGAUGGCUUUCGAGAUGUCUCACCCCUUUCUGUUGUACACUAUCACCCACUAAUGGAGCAUGAACUUUUAUGGGGUGACAUCAAUUACUUCAAAAGAUUUAAUGAGUGUAAAUGAUUUAUCUUAAGUGCAAAAGAGGAACCGGGAAAGAGCUCAUUAUGUAGUCAGUGAUUAUCACCUGCAUAUUAAGUGUUGUUAAUAGUUAUGGAAAUCCUUGGGUUACACUACACUGGAAGUGUCAUUGUGGGGGCUCAACAUGCCUGAAAAUCUUCAAUAAUGAGGCCAUUGUUUGGGCAGAAAUUGUGAACGUUUAUUUUUAAGCAUUUAAAAUGAUAGCUGGAGUGAGCGCUGGGAUAUUUAAACACUUUGUGACGGUGACAUCAUGAUGGACUGUUUACAUUAUAAUGUCUGAUAUCAUAAAAUGUCUUAUUUGUUUUAUGCAACAGUUAAACAUGGCUGCUCACUUUCAGAAGUUGUAGUGAUGUUUACUUUUCCAGGAAAUAAUAUGAAACAUAUGUUGGUUAAAACAUUUUAAAUGUAAACAUUACCAUUCACCAGAGUAAUGCUGAGGUCAAAGAGCUUAGAAUGACCAAGAGGCGACACUCAAUAGAAUGUUCCAUUGCAAAAGCAGCGCCCAGCAACAUUCCCGGAUUCCGCCAUUUUGGAGUGAAUUCGAUCGGCUGUCCAUCAAAUCUUAUUGGUUUCAUGAUGGCAAGCAGAUGCUUGGUUUUUUAUUUAUUUUAAAAAAGAGCAUUAAAACUGAGAUACAACCUGAAAGACGACAAUAAAACACUUACUAUCACAAUCAUCUGCACUUUUAAUAGUUUAUUUUGCAGAUUUAUAAUAUGCUGUUGCUUUAUUGGAAUUUUCAUUCCAAAAUGGCCGCCGUGCCAUCUAGUGGCUGUUUCCCAAAUCGCACUGGAGUGUCGCCUCUUGGUGAUUCUAUGCUUUUUUGAUUUUUAAGGCUUGGUUGUGUUUAUAAGAUGCAAAGCAAUGUGUCACAUCACAUUAUUUUUUAUAUAUCUGACUUUGAUUAUAUGCUGCUACUCAGCUAACAUGAAAAUGAUUGUCAUAUUUCCUUGUUUCUCCACAAGACCACCCUCAAGAGGCUUUGAUUGGUCAGCUAACAUAAUGUGAUUAGUGAAUUUGCUCAAUGCCUCCAAUAGCACAGUGUAUGCCUCUUUUGUGUCAGUCAGAGUAGCUGUUAGCUGUAUCAGUUUGAGCUUGAUUGAGACAGAAUGAAGAGGACAGUGCUGAACCUCAUUUCUUCUCUCUAAAAUACAAACUGACAAGUGUCUUUCACAUAUGUUCGUAAUAAGCUUGUGUAAGUAAAAUUAAACGUUCACAUAUCUUUUGUGAGUUUGUUAUUUGAGAUGCAGAAUGCAGGGAAAGUGGCUGCGUAGACAGACACUGCAGUGCUGGGGAAGAUUGUGGGUGUUUAUAGGGAUUUGGAUGGAUAAAUAUGAAUUUGUAGAUAAAGUGUAACAGUGCCAAACAGCAUUUCCCAUAGUUUACAUCCUUGUUUAUGUCCUUGCUAA
ensembl:lincRNA